rnacentral:rRNA from 1 species
UGGAUCAUGUUGUUUAACUCGAUGAUACGCGAAGAACCUUACCAGGUCUUGACAUCCCUUGCAAAGCUAUGGAGACAUAGUGGAGGUUAUCAAGGAGACAGGUGGUGCAUGGUUGUCGUCAGCUCGUGCCGUGAGGUGUUGGGUUAAGUCCCGCAACGAGCGCAACCCUCAUUGUUAGUUACUACCAUUCAGUUGAGGACUCUAAUGAGACUGCCAACGACAAGUUGGAGGAAGUGGGGAUGACGUCAAAUCAUCAUGCCCUUUAUGACCUGGGCUACAAACGUACUACAAUGGCCAAUACAAAGAGAUGCGAAGCGGUGACGUGGAGCGAACCUCAGAAAGUUGGUCUCAGUUCAGAUUGAAGUCUGCAACUCGACUUCAUGAAGGCGGAAUCGCUAGUAAUCGCGGGUCAGCAGACCGCGGUGAAUACGUUCCCGGGCCUU